AUUAAAAAAUAAGUAUAGGAGAAAUUAGGUUAAGACAUAAACAUGAGAAAUUUGAAUGCUAAAAGAAACAAAAUGCUGCAUAUGGAUAUCGAACCCACUACCUAGGUGGGAAUGAAGAAACUCCACGCCCACCCGACCAAGAGCCAUCAGCUGUUAAGCUAUGGCCAAAUAAAAAUGCAAAAAGGAAAACGAAAAGUUCCACCAUAAUGCCAACUGUAGGCAUUCAAGAAUGGUGACCGACAACUUUUAAUGGAAAGCACAAGGAACGAGCAGCCAAAGGCCUUGGGUAUAGCAAACCGUCACAGGUGUUGUUUCCAACAAACGAAAACCUUUAAAACUUAAUUAUGACGAACUUGAAAAUAAAAUAAAAUAAAAGUAAUAACAACGAAAAUACUCGUCUCCCUCCUUCAAGAAAGAUCCAAAUUUUUCACAGAGGAGCAAAACUUUCCAGCUUGAGAAAACAACCGUAAACUCAGAACAACGACCAACAAGGAUGAAGCUGGAGGAGCUUGAUCGAUGAGAACGAAAAAACACAUAGAAACCGAAACGACAACUACUCUCAUCUAAACGAUAGUCCAAAUGAUAGACCGAACUCGGGUUCUCUAAAUCAAUCAAGGCGAGGUACAAAGAGAGACUUACCGGUCACAAUGAGGUUAACGGCGACUGGAGAGGUCACCAUUGUAGUGUGUUCGCUUGUGUACUCCGUUGUUGGUAAAGGCUUCGUCCAAGGAGGCGUCGAGAUGAAACUUUGAUAUUCUCUCCAAAAUGCAGACUCUAGGUUCUUUUGAAUUUUGAUUUAUGUAGAGUUUUGUUAAGGUUUUCCUUUCUUUCUCUUUUCUAUCUGAUUUUUUGUCUUUUGAACAGUAUCGGCCGCCCCUCAAUGAGGAGAAAGUUCUCCCUUUUAUAUUCAUCCUGCUAGGGUUUGGAAUUGACCACUGAGAUCAAAAGAGUAUUGGAACUGGGAGUGCUUCCUUGCGCUGCUCUGUUGUCUACCCCAUUUUGAUGCUUCCUCUGAAAAGAUAAGUUGUACCUUGUACUUUCCCUUGUAAAAUAUUUGCUUGGCUCUUGUUGCUGCGUAUUUUCACUGCCGGUAAAUGGUUAUUCACUGCUAGUUUGGCUUUACUGUGGUAAAUAUGAAAUGAAAAAAAUCUUAUUGUCAUGGCUUAUUUUCUCUCAUUCUCUUUGAACUCUGUUGGUUUUCAGGUACUUGUGGUGUUUCCUGAAGUUUAACACUGGGAGCAUGCUGCAGCUUUGAGAGAUUCUCAAGUAGCUUAGAUCGGAUACUAUCGAGUUCAAAAAUGGUGGUCGGAUAGACUCGAAGGCGAAGUAGCACAAAAUGAUGGAGCAAACGAAGCAUCAAUCAAACUCGUAGCGGGAGCUUGAUCGGGGAACUAAAAUCGAUGGAAAUAGGAUGAUGUAGGGGCCUAGGAAACAAAUCCCAGAUUUCACGCCUCUUCUCUCCUCUUGUUCGGCUGUGCCUCUGGGGUCAUAGUGAGUCAUCAUUUGGGAAUUGGCUAGCUGAUCAUGGGGAAGUGUUUCAGAGAUAGGCAACUUAUGGUUGGCCAGUGCCUCAUGAUGGCCCAGAUGGUUAUUCGGCAAUGUAUCAUACUCUUGCAAGUGGUUAUGGGAUACUUGUUUGACAUAUGUGUCGUGACUGUCUGCCACUGGUUCAGAGCUAUGCGGCGAUUCAGUAUUAGGCAAUGACUUAGGUUGAGGCAGUUGAUCUUCAGGGAUCACAUGGAGAUUAGCAAACUGAUGAUUAUCAAGAAGAAUUUCUUGAUGGGAGAUCUGAUUAUUGGGAUACAUUGUUGAAUUCGUUAACUCAUUCUCAGGCCGAGCUUCAGAUGCAACCACAUCAUUGCUGAUUUGUGCUUCGUGCAUUACAGUCUCAUUGUUGGGUUGUGUGUCAGACAUAACUUCCUACUUGUUAGGCUGUGUGCCAGACACAAGUGCAUCAUGGAUGAUCCCUGCUUCGUGCAUGACACUCUCAUUGCUCUGCUGUGAGUCCGAUAAUACAACUUCACUGUUGGGAUGUGCCUCAGACAUGACCAUUUCAUCAUUGCCAUGUGUUUCCGAUAUCACCACCUCAGUCUUGUGUUGUGCUUCAAUAACAAUAAUCUCAUCAAUGCGCUGCAUUUCAGAUACAGUUCUGUCCUAAUUGUUCGUGUUGCUAGCAAAUUUCUUCAUUAGCUAGGAAUUAUUGAGGGAUUUAAAUGAGGUUAUGGUGUUAUCAUGAGGUAGGCUACAAUGGUUUGUCUUUUUUCUUGGUUACAAAUGUUCGUCAUGCCGUGAGGUUUAUCCAAUGAUCCUGUUAAUGCCGCAGCAUUUCGCCACUGCAAGUUGGAUGAUAUGCUAUGCAAUAUCAUGUGGAAAUAAGGUUAUGAUGAUGAUUGCACUGACUUUGUUUACAUGGUUGCGGGACGCAUGGUUUGUUGGCUUCAACAGAUAAUGGUUAUCAUGGAGCAAAGCAUGGUUUGGUCAUGGGGAUGAUUUGGCAUAUUAUUUGGAAUUAGUUUUUAGUAGUUUUGGAGUGAGUUCGUGUAAUCAUGAGGACGACUCUCAUUCUUAACUAACUUGUAGAACUUGUAAAUGUCAUCGAGAUAGUCAACAACAACAAGUUCAUUGUUAGCAUCAACAACAUCGAUGUCAACAAUCUCCUUAGGUUUGUUAGUCAAACCACAUGCAACCUUGCUUCUAGCUGUUAGAACAGAAGUAAGAGUGCGUGAUGAUUUCUUCCUGGAAUUAACUUCUCCUCCCUUUUUGUUAUGCACAAACUUUUCUUUAUUGCUCUCUUCUUCAGAACUUAUUAUAUCAAUUACAUCCACAUGCUUUGGUUUUGCAGUGACUUUCUUCUAAACAGGUUUAGGUUGUAUACCCCAGGCGUCACAAUCUUUUCUGGAUUUUUUUUCCAUGUGGUGGUCAGGUUAUAUGUUCAUGCAUGUCUGGAAGUCUAUAGAGUGCAGAUAUAACAUGAUUAUCCAUGAUGUAUUCCAUGCCUACAAUAGGGGACCUGAAUAUGGGAGGGCAAGGUUCUCCAGCACAUAAGGAUAUGUAUCCAUUCAUUCCAUCACUUUCAUUGGGAUCAGUCAUAAGUUUCCUAUAUGACUCGGGCAGAGCAUGAGAACUUGCAGCAGGAAAAACUCCAAGAAGAUGAUCAAAUGGUUUGAAUGGAGUACCCAACUCAAAGUUAAUAUCAAGCCCACCAAGGUCCUUGAGAUCAGAGGCAAAAGGGGCAUAAUGAUAGGGAUAAAACCAUGGCCAAUAACAAACACCUUCAUAAUAAUAAUGCAUCACCCAACAUAGACCUUCUGUGUAUUUGAAGACAACAUCUUUUCGCAUGGCAUCAAGUUCCUCCAGAGUUUGAGCAGAAAUUUUUUCUUCA